rnacentral:rRNA from 1 species
CGCUGGCGGCGCGCUUAACACAUGCAAGUCGAACGGAGUAUGCUUUGAAGUUCCUUCGGGAAUGGAUGUUGUAUACUUAGUGGCGGACGGGUGAGUAACGCGUGAGCAACCUACCUUUCAGAGGGGGAUAACACAACGAAAGAUGUGCUAAUACCGCAUGACAUUGCAGCACGGCAUCGUGCAGCAAUCAAAGGAGCAAUCCGCUGAAAGAUGGGCUCGCGUCCGAUUAGAUAGUUGGUAGGGUAACGGCCUACCAAGUCGACGAUCAGUAGCCGAACUGAGAGGUUGAUCGGCCACAUUGGGACUGAGACACGGCCCAGACUCCUACGGGAGGCAGCAGUGGGGGAUAUUGCGCAAUGGGGGAAACCCUGACGCAGCAACGCCGCGUGCAGGAUGACGGCCUUCGGGUUGUAAACUGUUGUCGCAAGGGAAGAAACAAAUGACGGUACCUUGUGAGAAAGCCACGGCUAACUACGUG